rnacentral:lncRNA from 1 species
UGGCGGGGAGUUUGAUAAUGCUGGUGCAUUGUUGAGUGUUGAUGAAUCUCUCGUGUGCUCCUUCGAGAUAUUAAAACCUAUCGAUAGAGGAUCUUCAUCAAAGAUGAAUCUUAAGAAGGUAUAUAUAUUAUCAACCAGCUAUUAUAAGUAUCUUAUAUGGAUGUUUGUGUAUAAACUAUAAGUAUCUUAUGUAAUUUUUUUUGGCAGCCUCCUAAACUCGGAAAAGUUUAGUCAUUUGGCAAAGAUUUUCGGUGCAAAUAGCUAACUCGACUUGUAUGGAGUUGAAAUCUUCAAGUAGUAGUUUGGCAUAGGAGAGAGUUGAAGCUUGCCAAUCAUGUAAUUGGCUAAGAGUAUAUAUAUUUGUAAACUGAACUACCAAGGCAUUCUUCUGUGCAGGAUAAGAGAUUAUUGCUUUAUACACCAAUUGUUGGUUGCUUGUGUUUGACAAAUUAGCCUGUAAUUUGUGAGUGCAAAGAGAUUUCAUGUUUUCAAAUGUGUAGUUUUUUUUCUAUGCCAUUUAUCUUGAAUGACUUGCUCAAGAAUAUUGUUCUUUGUAGUGAUGAGGCUUUUCUUGUUACUAUGGCACUGAUAACUUGAUCAAUCCUAUGACUACCUUUGGAUUUCAACUUUACAUUGGAUACUAGCAACAUCACUAUUUUAUGGUCAUUUACGGGGAUCUGUUUGCAAGUUGAAUUUUGGAAGGGAAAGAAAACGAAAAAAGGCUUGAAAACCAUCUCACAAGUGUAUUAAAAGCUUUUCCUUUUCAUUUAUUUUCUUCCAAAACUCAACUCAAACGAAGUUUUAGUUUUGGAAGUGAGAAAAAAGUUAUCUUUUCUAUUCAUCUUACACUUAUUUUCCCCCACAGAAUUCACUACAAAAAUCAAGACUUGUUGUACCCAAAAUAUUAUUCUUUUCAAAAUAGAAGUGGGGAACAAUAUAAACACAUAUUUCCCACCUUUAAAUUAUGUUAUUGGUUACUUUGGAUGAGUGGAGAACACAAUAUUAGGUGUGCCCUCAAAGUGUCACAAUCAUGUGUCAUUGAUUUUGAUUGAUGAAUUGACUUAAGUAUCCAAUAAUUAAUAUAUGAUGUUUCUUAACCAAUCAUGUGAUGUGGCAAUAGGGAUAUGACAUAUAUUUUAUGGGACAACAUUAUUUUAUUAUGUUUUUUAGGUUAAUUUCUAGGUUUAGGAACAUAUGAGGUUUAAUGAAGUUUCAACUCAUGGAAAUGCAAAUAUGUAAUCUUUUUAUGUAAAAAAUUGGGUUUCUAGUAUUCUAAAAAGGUUUAUUUGCUAUUGGGUUUUGGAGUGAAAUGAAAGGAAAUGAAAGGCUUCAUCUCACAAGUGUAUUUUAUGGCUUAAAAGUCUUCCAUUUCUCUUUCUUCCCCUACAAAACUCAACUUACAAACAGACAUUAAGGAUCUAUUUGCGACGAGUUGUAUUUUAAAGGGGAAGAGAGAAAAGGAAGAUUUUAAAGAGGAAAUAAGAGAGAAAAAAUAUCUCAAAAGAGCUCACAAGUAUAUUUUAUGAAUUUGUAUAUAUUCUCUUCCAAAACUCAACUUUUAAAUUUCAUACUCAAGGUUUCCAUAUGAAUAUGAAAUUAUAUAGAAGAAGAAAAUUGUACACUUCCAUAUAAAACCAUGCAUAAAGCUUAUAUGAAGGUGUACUCAAAACCAGGUUAUUGGGAUUGGACGGUCCGACCGGUCCAACCGUCACCUGCUUAAAUAGUCGGUCACGUACAUCUUGAAAAUCGGGAACCCUUUCCAAGCCAUUUUGGGCCGUGGGAAAACUGGUCCAACCUUGUUAGACCGGGUAAAACCAGAAUAACCCGGUUGGUUAAACCGGCCGGCUAUAAGAAAUAAAAAAUAAAAAACACAAUGCAGUAAAACACGUAACUGCACAGUGCACAACAAUUUUUCUUGCAUUAUGCAAAACAUGAUAUUGAUAAGUAUGUUAUUCACGUAUUUUAAUUAAUUAUAUAAUAUAUAUAUAUAUAUGAUAUUAUAAUGUUGUCCGGUUCAACCGGACAGCCUAACCGGUUAAAUUAGUUAGAACCUAUACUUGACCUCUUCCGGUUUGAUGCCCGGAUCGGAUUUCACAACAUUGCUCAAAACCUUGUUGAGAAGCCUGUUAGGUAGAGUUGGGCCAUCAAGAUGAAAUAUGAAAACUACAAGCCCAAAUCUGAGUCUGAAAUUGUUUGAUUCAAUCAAACAUUGGAUAAGGGUGAAGAGGGAAAAGAGUGAAGGAUAAUUAGAUUGAAUGAGACAAAGUGAUUGUCCCCCACACUCCAUCCAGCUAGAGAUUCCUGCAUUGAUUCCCAUACUCACCAUCACUCCACUCUUAGCAUUAUCACCAACCACACUUGUAUUUUUAACUUCUAUGCAUGUAUGAAUUAUGGAAGAAUGUUAAUACUUAAUAAUACCAAAUCAAAUCACCUUUUGUCAACUAAGAAAACAUUUAUACAUUCUUAUUGGAUUCCUAGAUAAACCAAAAUGUUAAAAGUUCAAUUUCUUAUACUGAUACUUUUUGAGAAAUUAGUUCCUUACCUAUAGGAUGAGGAGAUACCCUUGAUGUACCAAAAACAUUUCAUUUUGUCAUUUUGUAUGAGGAACUAAUAAGGGCAAAUACUUAGUUCAUCCAUAUAAAUCCUCAUGAUAAUUAAAAAAAAUAGAGUUUAAAGGUGCUUUUCUUUCCCUAAUUUGGGUAUAGGACCAUAGUAUUUUUUCCUUUUGGUAUGAUUAUUGGACCAUUGUUGAUUUAGUUAUGCUUAGGAUUGAAAACGAGUCGAACCAGAGUUCAACUUGAUAAGGAUUCAUUUAGCUCGAAAUUUGAUUCGAGUUCGAUACAAGUUCUUUUUUAGCUCGAGUUCAGCUUGGUUAAAGUUUGCGAACUAUUUGACUUAGUUCGAAUUUGUUCAUUUGGACAACUUCAAUAGUUAAUUAAAUUUUAAAAAAAUACUACAAAAAGUCUUAUACAUAUAAAUAUAACCUUGUUUUUAUAUAUAUAUAUAUAUAUAUAUAUUAACAAUAAAUAUAAAAAAUAAUGCAUAAAUCAUAAUAAACAUAAAAAUUAGUUUAUAAUAUAUAUAUAUAUAUAUAUAUAUAUAUAUACAAUAUGUUGUGGUUUAUUUAUAGGAACCAAGUGAUUUAAUUUGCAUUCGAUUUUGCAGCUCUCUUGCCUUGUUUGUUUGUCUCUAAUGUUGACGUAAUUUUGCAGGUGAUAUACAUGGUCAGUACCAAGACUUACUGAGGGUAUUUGAAUAUGGAGGCUACCCUCCUGCAGCAAACUACUUGUUCUUGGGGGAUUAUGUCGACAGAGGGAAGCAAAGUUUGGAGACUAUAUGUUUGCUUUUGGCCUACAAAAUAAGAUAUCCGGACAAAAUUCAUCUCUUGAGAGGAAACCAUGAAGACGCAAAGAUAAACCGGAUUUAUGGUUUUUAUGAUGAAUGUAAAAGGAGGUUCAAUGUUAGGCUAUGGAAGAUAUUCACUGACUGCUUUAACUGUUUGCCGGUAGCUGCACUCAUCGAUGGCAAAAUACUUUGUAUGCAUGGGGGUCUCUCUCCGGAAUUACAAAAUUUGAAUCAGAUAAAGGAGAUUCAAAGGCCUACUGAAAUUCCGGAUAAUGGUCUCCUAUGUGAUCUGCUUUGGUCUGAUCCUGAUUCUAGCAUUGACGGCUGGGCGGACAGUGACCGAGGAGUUUCAUGUAACUUUGGAUCUGAUGCAGUCACUGAGUUUUUGGAUAAAAAUGAUCUUGAUCUCAUUUGCAGAGGUCAUCAGGUAAACCUUAGUUCAUAUGAGCAGAUUGAACUUGUUGCAAAUGUUGGAAGUGCAUAUUUGUACCGAUUUUAUAAAUCUUUUAUUUGUUUGAUAAAACUUCAAAAGAUCCACUACACUGAUAGGUUUUUAUCUUCUGUACAUUUACUAACCUCCUUAGAGAUAAAAUCAUUAUGAACCCAGAAAAGGCGGAGAAGAAAAUAUGUUGUCUCAUAAUCUCUUGAGACCAUAAUUUUUUAACCGGAAAAGCUCCUAGAAUAAGUUAUAUAAGUUUUACUCUUCUCUGUCGAACUAUUUACGGGCAUUUAUCUUCUUUGCUGUUUGUGUUACUUCUUCCAGCUUGUCAUGAUUAAGGUCUCAUUCUACUUCAAAUUGGUCUUAUAGGUUGUAGAGGAUGGAUAUGAGUUUUUCGCUAAACGGAGAUUAGUCACGAUAUUUUCUGCUCCAAAUUAUGGCGGGGAGUUUGAUAAUGCUGGUGCAUUGUUGAGUGUUGAUGAAUCUCUCGUGUGCUCCUUCGAGAUAUUAAAACCUAUCGAUAGAGGAUCUUCAUCAAAGAUGAAUCUUAAGAAGGUAUAUAUAUUAUCAACCAGCUAUUAUAAGUAUCUUAUAUGGAUGUUUGUGUAUAAACUAUAAGUAUCUUAUGUAAUUUUUUUUGGCAGCC